rnacentral:rRNA from 1 species
GACGAACGCUGGCGGCGUGCCUAAUACAUGCAAGUAGAACGCUGAAGAGAGGAGCUUGCUCUUCUUGGAUGAGUUGCGAACGGGUGAGUAACGCGUAGGUAACCUGCCUGGUAGCGGGGGAUAACUAUUGGAAACGAUAGCUAAUACCGCAUAAAAUUGAUUAUUGCAUGAUAAUUAAUUGAAAGAUGCAACUGCAUCACUACCAGAUGGACCUGCGUUGUAUUAGCUAGUUGGUGAGGUAACGGCUCACCAAGGCGACGAUACAUAGCCGACCUGAGAGGGUGAUCGGCCACACUGGGACUGGGACACGGCCCAGACUCCUACGGGAGGCAGCAGUAGGGAAUCUUCGGCAAUGGGGGGAACCCUGACCGAGCAACGCCGCGUGAGUGAAGAAGGGUUUCGGAUCGUAAAGCUCUGUUGUAAGAGAAGAACGGGUGUGAGAGUGGAAAGUUCACACUGUGACGGUAUCUUACCAGAAAGGGACGGCUAACUACGUG